GUGUGUAAAGCUCAAGUGGUAGAGCGCAUGCUUAGCAUGCAUGAGGUCCUGGGUUCAAUCCCCAGUGCCUCCU
rfam:Camelus ferus unplaced genomic scaffold scaffold1226, whole genome shotgun sequence.